CCUUUCUGUCCAGUUACUUGCUCCUGAUGCAAAUAAACUCCUGCUGUCUCCACUCCCACUCUUUGUGUCGGCGGAUGCAUGCACAGAAAUUGCUUUUACAAUCUGCAGUUGCUGCAACAGCUGUAGAAUCCACCAGCUGAUGGCAGAAACACAGAGGGUGUGGGUGACGUCCAGCCAAAGAAAUGAGGCAAACGGAUCGGUCUGUGUGGAUCUCUGCUCUACUGAUCAUGUGCAUCGACUGCCUGGCUGACAGCAGACUCAGACAAUCAUCCUCAUCCCCUCUCCCAUCAACCUUGGUUUGGCCCGGCCGGCCACAGCUUGCACAGAAUCAAUCUGCUUUGAGAUAUGGGCAGCCGUCACGGCAGUGACCGAUUUUGGCAUGCAAGACUCUCCCUUAAUAGACAAAGAGACGGAGAUCAAUAGCCAAUUUGGCCUUGGAAUGAGGCUAAAAUGGAUCAAGGAAAAUUCAUUUUAUUCUCCUCUCCUGUGCCCGGAGAAUCCAGGAAAAGAGUCUGUCUCCAUGGAGAGUUAUCAGGUGAAGAAUACUGCUCAUACACAGUGUUAUCAGCGGGGGGAAAGCCGUAGCCUGCGGGCGAUGGAGGUGUUUGUGUCACCAUCCUCGGGCUGUCCUCGAGCCUCCUUGGCCCCACCGCAGUACAAAGGAAGGGAUUCAAUUAUGAAGUGACACCUUGAGGCAUGUAGCAAAAGCACGCUGCUUCAAAAGAGAUCACUGAAAAUGUAUCCUUGCCCUUUAUCUCCCUCUGUCUGUCUGCCCGUCUCACUGUCUUUCUCAAGUUCCUGAUGUGUUUCUCUGGGAGGCAUAAAACAGAUAAAUGCAUCUGGUCGCACCCACGUAAGGGGGUUCCAAGGUCAGGGUGCGCUGAGUGUGAGCGAUAACUUUUCCUCUAGAUUAUACAGUUUUAUUGAUUCGGAGCAAUUAGUGCACAACUGAGGGAAUAACUCAGCCCACACAGCUGCAUCGGUAAUGAUGACUAUUUCAAGCAGUCGGAUCUUUACCUGCACAUGGAGGUUUCAUCGUAUUUCCACUUUUUGGAGGGAAGUCAGCUGACAAUAAUUAGCAUGCUAUGUCCCAAAAACAACUGCCAGCAGUGGAGCCGAUGAAGUGGAUUGGAAAAUGCAGUUUCCCCAGUAAACGCACCGACCUAUUUGGCUUUAGUGCUAGUGUCUCUAGUUAUGCGGGGUGAAAAAGCCAAUGACGGCACAACGGACCAGAACCAGGACAGCCUGUCCUGGGAACACCUGUCCACUGUGCCUAAAUAGCCCAGAGACACUCCAGCAGCAAAGAGCUGCUCGUGAGGAUGAGUGAGGAGCAGCAGUAGACAGGGAAGGAGGCUGAAGAGGUUGGUGUGUUUACUGGGGAAACUACAGACGUAACCACAGCUACACUCUGAGUUAACUAUGCAGUUGUUGGUAGAAUGAGCUGAAAAUACAUACAGUAGCUACAUACAUGUACCUGGGUUAACUAAAUAAAUGAUACUAGACAAUACAAAACAAUGCAGUACAUUCAAAAAUGAUGUUCUUGGCUGAAGUCUGAGUUUAUGAAAAGCAGAUAUCCCUGAACAUAUUUCAGUUAUGUUGAGGUUCCACUUGUCUGCUACCCCCCCCACUUUUUUUUGCAGUGUGUAUUGUGUGUUUUCUCAAUGCCAUGAAUAAAUUACAAGGCUGAAAAGAUACAAGUGAGUCAUAUAAGGAUGAAUACCAAUUAGCAGCUUUAGUUGAAAAUCGAAUACUGAAAACCUGCAGAUAUUCUGUCAAUGCACUUUGUAACCUUUGAUUUUGUUGUUCUGUUUUGUUCAUGCAACAUCUUUUCUCCGCCCUGAACAGGGAUCCCUCCUCUGUGACUCUUCCUGAGGUUUCUUCCAUCUUGUAUUUCCCUGAUAAUUACUUUUUUUCUCAAGUGUUCCGUCACUCGUAUCGAGGGUCUAAAGACAGAGGAUGUCGUUCACUGUACAGUUUGUAAAACCCAUUGAGGCAAUGUGAUUGUUGUUUUGGGCUAUUUAAAUAAAAUUGAUUUGAUUGAAACUUAGAGGCACGCUGACACUUAUAUAACGUAACACAAGU